rnacentral:rRNA from 1 species
UACGUAGGGUGCAAGCGUUGUCCGGAAUUAUUGGGCGUAAAGAGCUCGUAAGCGGUCUGUCGCGUCUGCUGUGAAAACCUAGGGCUUAACUCUGGGCGUGCAGUGGGUACGGGCAGACUAGAGUGCGGUAGGGGAGAUUGGAAUUCCUGGUGUAGCGGUGGAAUGCGCAGAUAUCAGGAGGAACACCAAUGGCGAAGGCAGAUCUCUGGGCCGUAACUGACGCUGAGGAGCGAAAGCAUGGGGAGCGAACAGG